UUGUGUGAGUGAUUUUCAAGUAAAACUAAAGUUGGCACUUCCUUAUUAUACUUGCUAUUUCUACUUUUAAUAUCCAUUUCCCUCGGUUCAAGCGACAUAUAACAUAUUUGAUAGCUUCCUCCUAAAUGAUUUUUUUUUAUAAGUAAAAAGUAGCUUAUAUUUUGCUAAAGUCUUAAAUAUUUAUAUUUGGUGGUUUCAAAUAUAAGCCAAUUUAAUUGUUUUUACUCUAUUUAAUAAUCACAAUUUUUUUCUCAAUUAAUAAAUAAAAAAUUAUUUUUUAAUGACUCUUUUAUUUUUAUAAAAU
rnacentral:lncRNA from 1 species